GCCCGUGUAGAAAAAAAAACCCACUCCCCGUCCACCACCUCCCCUGAUCCCCAACCUUCCCCCGAUCUCCCUCGUGCCAGGUGCCAGCGCCGUGCAUCUCUCCCCGCUCCUCGAUCUCCUAGCACCGCCGCUCCCCGCUUCCCCUGCCUCCCGGCGCUGCCGUGCCCACUUCCCCUGCCUCCUAGUGCCGCCGCUUCCCUCCACCCCGCUUCCUCUACCUCCAAGCGCCACUGCCCCAACCUCCGGCAUGCAACUAGGCUGCCUUCCGCCGCCUCCCCUUGCUCUGGCGUGCCUCCCAUCGCCAUGCCUCCGGCACGCCUCCCACCGCCGCACCCCCGGCCCCGGUGCGCUUCCCGCCAUCGCCUUCUCUCCAGCAGCCGCGGCCACCCGUGACCAGCGUCAGCACAACCAGCUACAAAUCCAGUGGGAUUCGCCCCCACUCCUGUCCAUAGUCGCGUGGCUCGCGGCAAAACAGGGCCGCCGAGGAGAACAUCUCCCGUCCGGCAAGGAGCAUCUCAAGGGCGUCCGACGAGGAGCAUCUCAGGGGCGAGGAACAUCUCCCACCUCCUCCCUAGUGCAGAGCUUUCAGUCCAGGCCCCCGCGGCAAAAAACGCAGUGUCCACUCCUAUGAAAAUGCUCCUCCAAUAUCUUCAGGCGGUGUGGGCAUCCGGUCAUAGAGAGAUGUGUGGAGCGCUGCAUUCCGCUUGUUGUUGACCUCGUGGCCGCAAACGCCGAGAUUAUUGUCGUGUGUGGACUGCAACGAUGACCGAAUCCGACCUUCACCAGCAUCAUCAUUCUUCCUUCUCCUGUUCACCAACGUGCACCACCCGUCAUGGGUUAAGACACUGCUCAGACACUUCGAGGUGCCAUCGAUGGAUGUCUUGUCAAAAAGAUUCGCUCUCUUCGGCUUUAUUGCUGGGUGGAGCAUCGCAACCUCUGCUGAGACUGGACCUACCUUCCAGCUUGCACUGGUACUCGUCUCAUGCAUAUACUUUCUCAACGACAAGAUGAAAGAACCUUGGCAGGGCGUCUGCUACAGGCAUGGAUAGAUUGUUUCAAGAGGAAUUUACUGCACUUUUAUUAUGAUUCAGAUUUCAGAAGUAAGCUAAAACAAUUUGGUUUGCAGCAGGUUCAGGCAAGUCUUUUGUGUUUGUUUCAAGGUUCAGAAGUAAGGAAGUACUAGCUAGUUUAAUGUAGUAGUUUUUCAGGGCUCAGAUUUUGACGCCUCUAAUGAUUUUUUUGUCUACUGCACACAGUUGAAUCUCCAAGUUAUAAGAUUCUGUCAGUGUUGAAGAUCAAGAUUACUUUCAAACUGCAACCAUCAUCUACUAUUUGGUUGUCCUUUCCAUUGCCCCUUGAGUAGCAUCGUCUGUUGUUUCUUUCACCAGCAGAGCACCACUCUCUCAUGAUGAAGUUUCCUAAUUGAGUCUCAAACUGCAGCAACCUAAUCUGGACUUGUUUUAGGAAUGACCGAUUAAUCGGUCCAAAUUCUAACUGUUGAUUAUCCACUGGGCGCCUUCACGGCGUGCUUCAGACUCCAAUCCAUCCUUGUUGUCCUUAGAGAGGAACACGUACAGGUCGUGGGUCGCUAGCAGGAGAUAAGAAUUAUAUGCAUCAGGUCACUUAGCUUCCUUUGCUUUGUGGGCAAAAGGUUAUCAAAGUUCUCGCAAUUUUUUUGGGUAAAAAGUAUAGAAAUUCAUGGAAGAUUGAUUUGUGUAUGCUUGUGAGUCUGAAACCUUUUUUAGUUGAUGUCAGCCAAAAAAAUGUGGAUAUGUUGUGCGUGUGUGUGUAGUACACCGAAUUGAAAAAUACUAUUUUCUGUCAUGUAGAUCAAAGAAAGAACAUAGAAAAUUUUAAAAUGUGGAUACACACAUUUUCUAUGUAUGAGCAAAAAACAAAGAAAAAUGCAUAAUUUCUCCUUUA